UACAGAGGUCUCAAGCGUUGUUCGGAUUCAUUGGGCGUAAAGGGUGCGUAGGUGGCGGGGUAAGUCAGGUGUGAAAUCUCGGGGCUCAACCCCGGAACUGCCUUUGAGACUGGAUUGCUAGAAUCACGGAGAGGUGGGUGGAAUUCCGAGUGUAGAGGUGAAAUUCGUAGAUAUUCGGAAGAACACCCAUGGCGAAGGCAGCAUUCUGGGCUCAACCUGACGCUGAGGAGCGAAAGCCAGGGGAGCGAACGGG
rnacentral:rRNA from 1 species